GACGAACGCUGGCGGCGUGCCUAACACAUGCAAGUCGAGCGGGUUUAUCCUUCGGGGUAAGCUAGCGGCGGACGGGUGAGUAACACGUAGGCAACCUUCCUUCAAGAUCGGGAUAACUAUCGGAAACGAUAGCUAAGACCGGAUAGCUGGUUUUCUCGCAUGAGACAAUCAUGAAACACGGAGCAUUCUGUGGCUUGAAGAUGGGCCUGCGGCGCAUUAGCUAGUUGGGGAGGUAACGGCCCACCAAGGCGACGAUGCGUAGCCGACCUGAGAGGGUGAACGGCCACACUGGGACUGAGACACGGCCCAGACUCCUACGGGAGGCAGCAGUAGGGAAUCUUCCGCAAUGGACGCAAGUCUGACGGAGCAACGCCGCGUGAGUGAUGAAGGUUUUCGGAUCGUAAAGCUCUGUUGCCCUAGACGAACAGCAUCAGGAGUAACUGCCUGUUGUGUGACGGUAUAGGAGAAGAAAGCCCCGGCUAACUACGUGCCAGCCGCCGCCGUAAGAC
rnacentral:rRNA from 1 species